rnacentral:rRNA from 1 species
GUUGGCGGCAUGCCUUACACAUGCAAGUCGAACGGUAACAGGUCUUCGGAUGCUGACGAGUGGCGAACGGGUGAGUAAUACAUCGGAACGUGCCCGAUCGUGGGGGAUAACGGAGCGAAAGCUUUGCUAAUACCGCAUACGAUCUACGGAUGAAAGCAGGGGACCGCAAGGCCUUGCGCGGACGGAGCGGCCGAUGGCAGAUUAGGUAGUUGGUGGGAUAAAAGCUUACCAAGCCGACGAUCUGUAGCUGGUCUGAGAGGACGACCAGCCACACUGGGACUGAGACACGGCCCAGACUCCUACGGGAGGCAGCAGUGGGGAAUUUUGGACAAUGGGCGAAAGCCUGAUCCAGCCAUGCCGCGUGCAGGAUGAAGGCCUUCGGGUUGUAAACUGCUUUUGUACGGAACGAAAAGACUCCUUCUAAUAAAGGGGGUCCAU